rnacentral:lncRNA from 1 species
AAACCCACUUCUAACCCAGACAUAGUUGAAUGCAAUUUUCCAGAGCAAAGAGUUGGGGGUGGAUAUGGAAGUUGCAACAUCGUAAUCCCGCAGGCAGCUUUAACAUGUGGUUUCCUUUAAACGUCAUCAGAAGGAGGGUGAGGUGAUCACUAGAAGGUGCCAAGUAUUUCCAUUAGCCAACUGCUUUUGGAUGCGGUGGUUGUGCUGAUCACGGGAUGUUUGCUCUCCAUGCCGGGCUUCUUUUUUGAUGGGCAGGUGGCAUGGUGGCAGCUCUGCUUUGCUCUCUGUCCUCCAUCUUUGCGUUUAGCCAGCGCCACAAGUGGGUGCACAUUUGUCUCUGCCGUCUAACACUUUGACUUCUUGUGGAAAGGAUGCUUUUGGUCAGUUUUCUUAAUUCCACUCAUUUGGACUUCAAACCCAAAAUUAUGGUGUCGUGUAAGGAACAAAAGGAACCCAUUUCUUUUGGACUUAAAAAGGGCCAAGAUAAAGGGCAAAAAGUAGCAGAGAGUCCCCUUGUUUUUGUAUUUUUUUUUCUUCUGGGAAAAUUAAAACAGAGACCCCUUUAUUGUAAUUUCAUUGAACUAUCAUGGCUUGCUUUUUGCAGCUGGAUUUAGGCGCAUCUUGCCUUGUGCAACUUCCAGAAGUUUUUCAGCAGACAUACGUUUAAAGACAAUUUCAUUGUUCUAAUUGGUAUAAGAAUGAAUAUCAUUGUUGUUCCAAGAGAAAGCAGCAAUGAGAAUACUGCAGCUAAUGAGAAGUGUCAAGUGCAGCAAUGACAGUCAUUUGUUUUCUUUUGGUAGUUAAGGGGUAGAACCCAGGCUAACACCUAAAAAAAGGGGAUAAGGGAAAAUAAUGGAUGGCAGUGUUUUACUCCCUCUUUAAUGCAUCUGAUAAUGCAUAGAGAGUCUGGCUCAAUUUCCAGAUUUCGGACUUGAAGGCUCUUAGCAACACUGCCAUAUGAAGGAAGAAAUUGUAUGAUUGAACCACCAAUGGCCCAUUUCAUCGGCACUAAUUGCAACCACUUUCAUCUGUAUUUUUGCACUGCAAUAAAUGCUAUUCAAUUAGGAACCAUACCAAGACAGACUUCAGGGAAAAAAGCAGAAAGACCCAUCGUGAUCUCUUUGUUGCCUAGUUGAAUUCAUAAGCAAUCUCUUAUGGAUAUUUGUUCCAUCAACUACAGUAGUGCUUAUUUUUUUUCAUUUAAAGAGGUAUGCCUGCUCCAUUAAUGUGUCAUCAAGGACAGUAGUCUUCUUUGUCCUUUGAAACUCCACACAUAUAUAC